rnacentral:rRNA from 1 species
UAGAGACAACUUCCGUUACCCCUACUUUGCUUCGACUUAUCUCAAAGAGAGUGACGGGCGAUUUGUACACCCUAUUUAAAUAUUUCUAAUAAUCUCUAUUUACUUCUGAAUCCUCCUUUAAUAAUUAAUUUUUCGUAAAUUUUUACAUAUUGUAACCAAUCUAGCCUUAAAUAUAUCUGCACCUUGAUCUAAACUU